rnacentral:lncRNA from 1 species
GCCUGCUCUGUGCCUUACUCCCCCUCCUCCUCGUCCUUCUCCUCCCCCCUUCUCCCUCUUUCCUCUUCCUCCUUCAUCUCAUCUCCUCUUCCUCCUCCCUCAUUCCUCCUCCUCCAUCUCAUUCCUCUUCUUUGUCCUUCAUUCCUCCUCCUCCAUCUCAUCCUCCCUCAUUCCUCUUCUUCCUCCUCCAUCUCAUCCUCCCUCAUUCCUCUUCUUCCUCUUCCAUCUCAUCUCCUCCCUCAUUCCUCUUCCUCCUUCAUCUCAUCUCCUCUUCUUCCUCCCUCAUUCCUCUUCCUCCAUCUCAUCCUCCCUCAUUCCUCUUCCUCCUCCCCCUCCUCUUCAUUUCUUUUUCUCCAUUCCCUCUCCUCACUUCUUUUCUCCUCCUCCUUCCUUCUCUUCCUCAUUCCUUUUCCUCCUCCUCUUCUUGCCCCUUCCCCUUCUCCUCAUACUCCUUUCCUUCCUCUUUCCUCCCUCAUUCCUCCUCCUCCCCCUCAUCACCUUCUACUUCCUCUUCUGCACUUCUUUUCCUUCAUCCUCCUCCAUCCCCCUCUUCAUUUUUUCUCCUCCACUUGCUUCUUCCUCCUCUUCCUCUUCCUCAGUCUUUUCCCUCCAUUAUUCAACUUCUCCCUCCUUCCCCUUCUCCUCCUCCUUGUUCCUUUCCUUCCAUCCUCCGCCAUCUUCUACUCCUCAUCACCCUCCUACCCUUCUUUGCUUUUCCUCCCUCCAUCUUCCUUCUCUUCUUCCUCCCCCAUUCUCUGGAGCCUUCUGUAAAAUCCUCACCUUUUCUGUGCCUCCUUAAAUUAGUCCCUUCCCCCCAGUUUCUGUCCCCUUUCCUUUUAGAAAUAAAGGACCAGAGAAAUCUUAAAACUGGAAGGGACCUUGGUCACCUUCCAGAGGUCACCUCCUCUGUGCAGAAAUCCCCUCUAAAUCAUCUCCUGACUUGCAGAUAUCCAGCCUCUACUUAACUACUUCCAGUGAUAUGGAGCCUCCAAUACAGACUCCCCAGAUUCUCAGAGUUGGAAGGGUCCUCAGGGGUCAUCUAGUCCUAUCCAUACCUGAACAAAAUCCAUUCUACAAUCCACCCUGCUUCCAGGGGUAGAGGAGAAUCCUUGGCUUGAAGACCUCUGAUGAUGGGAAACUCACUACCUGCUGGACUUUAGCCCUUUCCAUGCUUGACUACCCCUACCUUUUGAGAAAAUUAUUUCCUUAGGGGCAGGGGAGAUAAUUCCACCACUUUUCCUUCCAUUUUCUCCUUGUCCUCUAUUCCCCCUCUAUGUCCUUGAAGUAUUUUUCUUAAUAACAUUUAUACAGCUCUUCAGUGUCUUCCCAGGCUAAUUCACUUAUGCUUGUCCAUGUGCCCAUCUGUCUAGUGGUCUCAGCCUCAUUAGGAAGAUGUCACUUCACUCAGUUCACCUGCCUGCCUUCCCCAGGAGCUC